ACUCCUACGGGAGGCAGCAGUGGGGAAUAUUGCACAAUGGGGGAAACCCUGAUGCAGCCAUGCCGCGUGUGUGAAGAAGGCCUUCGGUUGUAAAGCACUUUCAGUAGGGAGGAAGGUAGUGUAGUUAACACCUGCACUAUUUGUACGUUACCUACAGAAGAAGCACCGGCUAACUCCGUGCCAGCAGCCGCGGUAAGUACGGAGGGUGCGAGCGUUAAUCGGAAUUACUGGGCGUAAAGCGCAUGCAGGCGGCCUGUUAAGUCAGAUGUGAAAGCCCGGGGCUUAACCUCGGAAUUGCAUUUGAAACUGGCAGGCUAGAGUCUUGUAGAGGGGUUAGAAUUUCAGGUGUAGCGGUGAAAUGCGUAGAGAUCUGAAGG
rnacentral:rRNA from 1 species